CGAUUCGCCCGCAUGCAGGAAUGCGGCGCUCGGAAGCGGCUUUCGGAAGAAUGUGGCCCUGACUGCAAAAAAAGCCGGAAAAAUCGCAAAAAAACGCUCCAGUUUCACCAAAGUGCUGGAGAAAUAUAUAGCCUGGUAACGAUUGCGCGGCUACGAUGUGUGGCAUCAAUGAGCGCUAUGUCAUCAUUUUGACUCAUUCGUAUCGAAAUCAGAACACCAUGUUCUACACCGCUACCUUGUAUCGGUUCAUCGG
rnacentral:sRNA from 1 species